AUUGAACGCUGGCGGAAUGCUUUACACAUGCAAGUCGAACGGCAGCACGGACUUCGGUCUGGUGGCGAGUGGCGAACGGGUGAGUAAUGUAUCGGAACGUGCCCAGUCGUGGGGGAUAACGUAGUGAAAAUUACGCUAAUACCGCAUACGAUCUAUGGAUGAAAGCGGGGGAUCGCAAGACCUCGCGCGCUUGGAGCGGCCGAUAUCAGAUUAGGUAGGUGGUGGGGUAAAGGCCCACCAAGCCAACGAUCUGUAGCUGGUCUGAGAGGACGACCAGCCACACUGGAACUGAGACACGGUCCAGACUCCUACGGGAGGCAGCAGUGGGGAAUUUUGGACAAUGGGCGAAAGCCUGAUCCAGCCAUUCCGCGUGCAGGAUGAGGGCCCUCGGGUUGUAAACUGCUUUUGUACAGAACGAAAAGGUUUCUACUAAUACUAGGAGCUCAUGACGGUACUGUAAGAAUAAGCACCGGCUAACUACGUGCCAGCCGCCGCAGUAA
rnacentral:rRNA from 1 species